ACUGGCACUGAGCACUUUUCAAAGCAGAAUGCCUUCCUGACUGUCCCCGUCCUCUGCGGCCAGCUCCAGGCGGGUGUCAGGAAUCCCUGCUUUUACCCUGAAGUCUUGGCUCUUCCCCAGAAUGAGUCUUUGUGCCUGGGCCUGGUGCUCAGGCUCUGCAUCCCGUGUGAUCGCCUUCUGCUGUGGCGUGAAAAUGGACACAGGCCUCAUGGGCGCGGCUGUGUUCCAGCAGGAUGUGAUUUAGAAGACUGAUGGCUGGUGUGGCCUGCGGGCUGGGGUUGGCUGGCACAGCCGUGUAGAUACUGCGUAGACCUGUAGCGCAUGGACCCGUUUCUGGCGCUGCUGCCCCUCCUUCCUGCCGCAUCCUUGGUGUGGUUGUGUGCUCGCCACGCGAGCUAACACGGGCUGUGAACAGCACAGACUGGGCGUAUGGUUGUUGGGGAACAGAUUGUUUUAAACUCCGCUCUUCGUGCCCAGGCAGGGUCCGAGCUCUCCAGCGAUCCCCCGAGCCCAAUGCCUCUGGGGCCGCGUGUCAUGCUCGUGCACAUGCGGGACAGGCGAGAGGGGCGGGAGUCAGCAAGACAAAGCCGGGUAGAGCAGCGAACAUUUGUGCCGGGUGGCGGCGUCCUGCGGGGCUCCCUGUCUGGUGUGGGUGAGGCUGGGCUAUGGGACAGGCCUGGGAUGGGAGGCAGGAAGGGCGCUACAGCUGCCCUUUGCCCCGCAGAACAGCGCCUCCUCAGCGAGUACGAGAAGAGCCUGCAGUUCGACGAGUGCUGUCUCAGUGUCAUGCUGGCUGAGUGGGAGGCAAACCCCCUCAUCUGUCCUGUGUGCGUGAGGUUCAACCUGAGAGUGUCAGGCGGCGUGGUCACGUGUCCGUGUGGCCUGUCCCUCUCCUCGCACUCUCCAGGAUUGACGGAGCAAAAGCUUCGAGCCUGCUUAGAGGACAGCAUCAAUGAGCACGGUGCACACUGUCCGCACACGCCUGAGUUCUCCGUCACGGACGGGACAGAAGAAAAGCCCAGUCUUCUCAUGAGCUGCGUGGACACCCAGAGAGGCUGUGCCGAUGUGGGCCUGCCGGAAGGAAAUAGGAUGGCAGCAGGUCACCGAGGGAGGGAGGGCCUGCAGCUACCAGACGGCUGGACGGUGGGGCAGGAAGCGGUGGGAUUGCCUGCAUGCUGCUGGCCCCGUGCUGUCAUUGGAGGUGAAUGUGGGCCCGGCUACUGGGGACAGCUUGCAGACUCUGACCGGAGCGGGUGCUGGGGACCCCUGCUGCUCCCUGCUCAGUGGUGGGGCCCUGCCGGCCUCUGGGUGGGAGGCAGGGAGCAUGGCGGGUGGAGUUGAGGAAGAGGCGGCUGCUCCCUUUGCUCCAGAUGCACCCCCGGAGCCUCGAAUACGCAGGGUCUCUGGCCCACACGCUCUCGCUCCCGCGGCUCUGGGUCUGAAAGGCCUUUGGCUCCAGGAUGAUUUGCACACAUAUGUAGUGAGCCUGGCUGGUCACCACGUCCUGGAGGCCCGACUCCUCCUCUCUCUGAGCCUAAAGCUGUGUCCCCGCAGCACUACCACAGGGACCUGCCCGUGCGCUUGUCCUGGAUGGCAAGAUCACACAUGGGGGACUCAGGUUCAGCCUGGACAUGGAGGAGUGGGUGUAGGUUACCGUGAGGAUGUGGCCGGGUGAGGUGUGGUCAUUGGACGGAGUGCGCCAGAGCCGGGAUGUCAGCCGUGUGGGCGGACGGCCUCCUCUGUGUGGUGGUGAGGAUCGAGGGAGACCGCUUUGUGCUCUGGCGCGCCCCGACUGCAAGGGGAGACCCCAGAAGGCGUGCUGGCACACAUGGGCAGUAGGCUCAGGUUCUGCCUGCAGCAGGCAUGCCCAUCCAUCCCAGGUUCAGGCGACAGAGCCUCACCUCCCCAUGAGGCCAUGAGAAGCCACCGGUGACCUGCGGGGAGGCUGUUCAGAGUCCGUGUAUGGGACCUGCUUCGAGCUCCUGGCGCAUGUGCCACUGUCCUGGGACUGCAGGGUGGGGUCCCGCGUGCAGACACCCCACCAAGGCCACCUCAUGAUGGCAUCUGAAUGCCACCCUUGCAUCCCUGCUGCUGAGACACAGAGACGGUGUGUGUGACCGGGACUCUCUUCUGUCCAAAUCCAGGCUUGCGACACGUGGGCUGUGAUUCUCUAGUGCCGACCUCCACUCCCCGUUCUUCUGGGGCACACGACUCGCUCUGCCUGGGACAGGGCUUUGUAAAUACCAGCCUUUAACUUAUAUCGGAUUUUGUACUAAACUCUGAAACUCUGUGCUCUCGGUGUGUUGGGACACAGGCUGCGAGGGGAUAGCAAAGACAACAGAGGAAACCGCCCGAUUUUAUUGUCCAUUAUCACAUU